UACGUAGGGUGCGAGCGUUGUCCGGAAUUACUGGGCGUAAAGCGCACGUAGGCGGCUUUCUAAGUCGGGGGUGAAAUCCUGGAGCUCAACUCCAGAACUGCCUUCGAUACUGGAGAGCUUGAGUCCGGGAGAGGUGAGUGGAACUGCGAGUGUAGAGGUGAAAUUCGUAGAUAUUCGCAAGAACACCAGUGGCGAAGGCGGCUCACUGGCCCGGUACUGACGCUGAGGUGCGAAAGCGUGGGGAGCAAACAGG
rnacentral:rRNA from 1 species